AUUCCAGCUCCAAUAGCGUAUAUUAAAGUUGUUGCGGUUAAAAAGCUCGUAGUUGGAUUUCUGCCGAGGACGACCGGUCCGCCCUCUGGGUGAGUAUCUGGCUCGGCCUGGGCAUCUUCUUGGAGAACGUAGCUGCACUUGACUGUGUGGUGCGGUAUCCAGGACUUUUACUUUGAGGAAAUCAGAGUGUUUCAAGCAGGCAUACGCCUUGAAUACAUUAGCAUGGAAUAAUAAGAUAGGACCUCGGUUCUAUUUUGUUGGUUUCUAGAGCUGAGGUAAUGAUUAAUAGGGAUAGUUGGGGGUAUUCAUAUUUAAUUGUCAGAGGUGAAAUUCUUGGAUUUAUGAAAGAUGAACUCAUGCGAAAGCAUUUACCAAGGAUGUUUUCAUCG
rnacentral:rRNA from 1 species